rnacentral:lncRNA from 1 species
CAUUCUGGAGGGCUGGAGCUUUGCGGGGCACCUUCACACUCGCCCAGCUGGUGCUUCCCUGGCUGGGGAGGGCGGGCAGGGCUCGGGGCUUGGCCGGCAGCCCCUGGGGAGGUGCAUACUCGCCUCCUGGCUCCUUCCUGGCAUGGUCCCGGCAGCGGGAGGCAGCUGCACCAGGCCGGAGGAGGGGCUCAGAAAGCAAACGCAAGCAACAGCAAUGAGAGGGACUUGCCGCGGGGUGGUGCUCUCGGACCUCAUUUGAAAGGAUUGGGAGCCGGCUCUUUCAGGCAACUUCCCUUUUCGUUGGACUUCUGUUAAAUUGUCUGCAAAACCCACAGGAGGACAUCUGAAAUGAGAUACAGCAUUGCUGAAAUUUAUCACAGCUUUCAUGUUCUGUUUCCCAAGACUACUCUCCCCUCCUCCUCGAGCUCCUCCUCGUUCUCCUCCACCUUUGUCAUCCGUCAUCACCUUUUAACUUUCAUUGUUUUAGAGAGGAGGAAACUGAGGCAUUUUCCUGACAGUCUUUGAAAGAAAGAGAAAAAUCAAACAAAGAGAAUGCCCGUUUCAUUCACCUCAUAAGAAACAGUUUGCCAGGAAGGACAUGUGAUUCCACGAGUUGGAGGCAUGGAUGCUCUGGGCCCCGGGCCGCACCCUGUGACUUGCGGGCAGUGUGCUUCAUGGGAAGGCGUGUGAGUAAGGGUGCUCUCUCGUUGGAAGCAUCCUUGUCUCAUCCCUAAUCCUGCCAUCUAGGCUGAUAAGAAGUUAAUGCCAGGAAAAGAAAAUGUGUGUCUUUCGCCAACUCCGUCUGCUGGGUGGAGCUCCCAUCUGUAAUCCAGCCCCAGGCCAGAUGGCUUCCCUCACCGCUGUAUAACAGAAGCACACAAUGUAUACACAAUGUAUACACAAUGUAUAAUCUGCAUAAAAACCAUGCAUCUUCCCGGAGCACCGAUCUUACUCCAUGACAACUCACGGAAGCAUUGUUUUCUAUAUUAAAAUGAAUAAGUAUGUUAUACAUAGUGAAAUAUUGGCAUUAAAAAAGA